rnacentral:rRNA from 1 species
UGAGAGAACUCGGGUUAAGGAACUCUGCAAAUUGAUACCGUAACUUCGGAAGAAGGUAUGCCUUCGACGGUGUAGGGAUUUACUCCCGAAGCUGUUGAAGGUCGCAGGUAAUCGGUGGCUGCGACUGUUUAUCAAAAACACAGGACUCUGCGAACACGCAAGUGGAAGUAUAGGGUCUGACGCCUGCCCGGUGCCGGAAGGUUAAUUGAUGGGGUUAGCCGCAAGGCGAAGCUCUUGAUCGAAGCCCCGGUAAACGGCGGCCGUAACGAUAACGGUCCUAAGGUAGCGAAAUUCCUUGUCGGGUAAGUUCCGACCUGCACGAAUGGCGUAACGCUGGCCACACUGUCUCGACCCGAGACUCAGUGAAGUUGAAAUCGCUGUGAAGAUGCGGCGUUCCCGCGGCAAGACGGAAAGACCCCGUGAACCUUCACUACAGCUUUACAUUGAACUUUGAAUCUUCCUGUGUAGCAUAGGUGGGAGGCUUUGAAGCCUGGGCGCUAGCUCAGGUGGAGCCAACGUUGAAAUACCACCCUGGGAUAUUCGGAGUUCUAACCUUGGUCCGUGAUCCGGAUUGGGGACAAUGUAUGGUGGGUAGUUUGACUGGGGCGGUCUCCUCCCAAAGAGUAACGGAGGAGUGCAAUGGUACGCUCAGCGCGGUCGGUCAUCGCGCUCUAGAGUGCAAAGGCAUAAGCGUGCUUAACUGUGAGACAGACACGUCGAACAGGUACGAAAGUAGGUCUUAGUGAUCCGGUGGUUCUGUAUGGAAGGGCCAUCGCUCAACGGAUAAAAGGUACUCCGGGGAUAACAGGCUUAUUCCUCCCAAGAGUCCACAUCGACGGAGGAGUUUGGCACCUCGAUGUCGGCUCAUCACAUCCUGGGGCUGUAGCAGGUCUCAAGGGUAUGGCUGUUCGCCAUUUAAAGUGGUACGCGAGCUGGGUUCAGAACGUCGUGAGACAGUUCGGUCCCUAUCUGCCGUGGGCGUUGGAAACUUGAGGGUGAGCUGUCCUUAGUACGAGAGGACCGGGAUGGACGUAUCUCUGGUGUUCCGGUUGUCACGCCAGUGGCACUGCCGGGUAGCUAUAUACGGACGGGAUAAGCGCUGAAAGCAUCUAAGCGCGAAGCCCCCCCCAAGAUUAGGUUUCCCAGGGAACUCGAUUCCCCUAAAGGGCCGUCGGAGACUACGACGUUGAUAGGCUGGGUGUGUAAGUGCAGCAAUGCAUUGAGCCAACCAGUACUAAUUGCCCGUGAGGCUUGACCUA